rnacentral:rRNA from 1 species
UACGUAGGGUGCAAGCGUUUGUCCGGAAUUAUUGGGCGUAAAGAGCUCGUAGGCGGUUCGUCGCGUCGGCUGUGAAAACCUGAGGCUCAACCUCAGGCCUGCAGUCGAUACGGGCGGACUUGAGUACUGCAGGGGAGACUGGAAUUCCUGGUGUAGCGGUGAAAUGCGCAGAUAUCAGGAGGAACACCGGUGGCGAAGGCGGGGUCUCUGGGCAGUAACUGACGCUGAGGAGCGAAAGCGUGGGGAGCGAACAGG